AUUUCUUUCCUUAUCUCAGGUGGGAAGCACACAGAGUUGGCUGAUUACCCAAAGAGAGUUCAGAGUCCUUGAUUAGACUCAUCCGCUCUUAGAUUUUGAAGAAAAUAUUUUAAUGAAGAAAUCAUAGAUGGUAUUUAAAAAGAAUUGAUGCUGUUUUUGCAGUGCUUAUACUGAGGUUCAGUUUGAUUUUCAUCGUAAAACAAAGUUGGUACACCAACUAGGACUUAGUUGGCAGUAUGAAGAAGCAAGAAAGAGAUGGCACCUUCUUUCUGUGUAUCCACAUGGUAAACGGCAAAUGAUCACCCUGAGGCCUGUUUCAUAAGGACAAGAAUUCUAUUAAUGAGAUCUUCACAGUCAUGAACUAAUUCCCUCCCAUGGAUCCCACCUCUCCAUACCAAUGCCUUGGAGUUGAGAGUUCCAAUGUAUGAAAUUUGGGGGAAAAAACCAUUCAGUCUAUAGCACAGCAAUAUAUGUUUGCUUUGUUUUAUUGUGAAUCAGGAAACUAAAAAUACAAAGAAUACGCAAUAGAGCCAAAGUCUGUAACAUACUGUUACAAAUAUACAUACUGUUUGUUUUGGUUUGGAGGCAUGUCUGAAGAUCACAUGGAAGGAAGGGUUAGCUCAGUCACGGUAGCUUGAAACCAAUAUUGCCUGCCUAUUUCUUCCUUCAUAGCCUGUGCAUGGGAGGUGAGUAUGUUUGUGGACAUUGUCAUUGAAUAUAGUUUAGGCCUUUAUUGAAUCCAGAGGCUUAAUUCUUUAAUGUAGUUUUCAUUUCCAGAGCCAGCAGAAUCUAAUUUAACCCAGUGAUUCUCAAAUGAGGCAACACUAGGCAAUGUCUGGAGGCAGUUUUUGAUGUCACAAUGGAAUGUGGUGCUACCGACAUCUAGUGGAUAGAGGCCGAGGAUGCCACUGAACAUCCUACAAUUCAGAGUGGUCCCUGCAACAGAUAAUUAUCUGGUCCCUAAUGUCAAUAAUGCCGAAGAUAAUAAGCCCUGUGUUGGAUGUUCAUAAAUAACCAAAUGAACAGUUCUAUUUAUUCUGCUUUAUUUAUGUCCUCCUGGUAACAGGGGAACAGGACACUGCAGGGGUUAAAUUUGCAAAUACACCAGUAAAACUCCGAAGUAUCAGGAUCAGUGUUCUUCUAAACUCUGACUUCAGCUAGAGUGGUAUCUUGAACAUGGGAGGUGCAAUAAAUUGGGAACAAAUAAACGUGUUUCUGUGUU
rnacentral:lncRNA from 1 species